GACGAACGCUGGCGGCGUGCUUAACACAUGCAAGUCGAACGGAAAGGCCUCUUUCGGGGGGUACUCGAGUGGCGAACGGGUGAGUAACACGUGAGUAACCUGCCCUUGACUUUGGGAUAACUUCUGGAAACAGGGGCUAAUACCGGAUAGGAGCUCCUGCUGCAUGGUGGGGGUUGGAAAGUUUCGGCGGUUGGGGUUGGACUCGCGGCUUAUCAGCUUGUUGGUGGGGGAGUGGCUUACCAAGGCUGUGACGGGUAGCCGGCCUGAGAGGGUGACCGGCCGCAUUGGGGCUUAGAUACGGCCCAGACGCCUACGGGAGGCAGCAGGGGGGAAUAUUUCACAAUGGGUGGAAGCCUGAUGCAGCAACGCCGUGUGCGGGAUGACGGCCUUCGGGUUGUAAACCGCUUUCGCUCAUGACGAAGCUUUGUGUGACGGUAGUGGGUAAAGAAGCACCGGCUAACUACGUG
rnacentral:rRNA from 1 species